UUACCCUUCCCUGGCCCUACGCUUUGUUUUCUGUUGUGAUCGAAUUCUUGAAUGAAAUUUUCGAUAUGAAAAUACAGUUUCUGUGAUGAGUUGAGGGUGCUGCCUGCUGUUGUUAAGACUUGCAGACGAAGCGCUGCAUUGCUGUUGCUGCGGCUGACUCUAGUGAUUAACCAUCAUUUCAUAUUUCUGUUUUUGUGAUCUAGCAACCCGUAGUUUCAGGAACAGUUUGAUGUGUAGUGAGGUCAGCAACACCAAUUCACAGACCUGUUUCGUUACACUUUAUCAAGUGGGAAGCCAAUCUGUCGAGAGAAACUUAACAUCUAUCCAUUUCAAAUGGUCCUUUGGCUAUGGUAUUCUAGGCACAAGUUUUAAUCCCAGAUUUGCGUCAGGGUCCUGUUUGAAUCAAUUUGGUUCUACCAGGAGCCACCAGCUUGAGAAUAACUGAAUAAGUCCUGUGCGUCGAAUUCUCGACUAGUUGUAGUUCUGAUGAGUCACAAAGUAAAUGGAACCUCUUUUUUGCCAGCAAGCGAGGAUUGCAAACAAAUACAGUGCGACUAUAUGUUACCUCUGUCAAUCAAAUGUACUAAAUGCAACCACGAAUCUGUAUCCUAUGUUCUUUUUUUUAGUUUUUUUUUCCUGAACUUCCUAGUCAGUGACGAUUGCAGAAAUGCAGAAUAUGCAGCAAAGUGCUGGCUUGGUAUUACUUUGUUUUAAGAUAUUAUACUGUAUAUUGUCCAUUGCCAUUGUAGUAAUAGGUAAAGCAGAUUAUUCUUAUGGCUAUGUUUAUAAUCUAGGUACGCAAUGGGCUCAUUCUUUUUCAAAGUUAAAAGGGAAAUGGUCAAGGUUCGUUCUCCAAAGAAGAGAAAGAAGACCAAGGUUGGACGACAGCAACCCACAAUUCGGAGGAGGCUUGGUGACCUCCAAUAUUUUGGCUGGCGGUGGCCGCAGGUCGUUGGCCUUCCAGCGCAUGAGGCCGAGAGGAGGAUCAAACAAGAUUGCCCGGGAGUCUACUGCGAGGUCGUCUCCGUAAAUGCGUUGCUAACCAUGUGUUACUGCACACAUCGCGUUCGGAUCAUGGUGGAUAGAUACGGCAAGGUUGUAAAACCCCCCCACGUUGGUUAGUCUCCUCAUCAAAGUCUGGCCGCUAGGAAUAAAAUGGAGAGUUCGCCCUGGUUUUUUCGUGAUUAAGACAACCGCUGCCACUGUUGCUAUCGCCUGUCGGCGCUAGGAUAUUCAUCGUAAGAAUUACUAGUGUUUCAUA